rnacentral:sRNA from 1 species
UCCUGACUGCGUCCCCCGAGGUGGGCGUCGCUCAGCCCCGGGGAUCGGGAAGUUGGGCCGUGAUGCUGGCGGUGCCGCGGUUUGGGGGCCGUGCAAAAUGGAGGCAACUUUGGGGCCUGUUUACACUGCGCAGCAAAUGGCUGCUGGCGCUGCCGGCUGCGCGAUUGUGAAAAUCUCCCCGGGGCGCGAGGCAGCGUCUGCCUGGAUGACGCAACCGGGAGGGCCCGGCCUGGAGCGGGGGCGGGGGGGCGGGGGGCGGGCGGCCGGGAGCCGGAGCGGGGCGCGUCCUCCAUGAGGUCAGGCUAGGCCCUCCCGGUCCUCGCGGGGACAAGCGAGGUUUCCAGAUUCUGGCUGUAGUGCAGGGUGGAAAGGGGAAGGCGCGGCAGAACUGAAAAGGGGAAGCGCUGGCUGGCGGGGGGGUGAGGCUCUGCCCCGGCGGGGCUGCGAGAGGGGAAGGGACCCUCCUCCCUGGGAGGGUUGGGCUAUCCUGGGCGGCGCCGCCCGAGGAGCCGGGGCUCAGUGACCGCUGCCCUUGUAGGUGCUUGGGGCAGGUGUUGGAGCUGUCUUCGGGAAGCCUCGGGGGUAUGGGGCCGGGUGGGCCCCAGCCUGGGCGGGGCGGGUCCUCUGGCCGAGGCAGGGGUCGGGGGGUGCUGAAGGCCGCCCGGGCGCCCUGGAGGGGUCUCCGCCCGGAGCCUGGCGCCGCCUGGUGACCUACAUCUUCUUCAGUUCCAGGGUCUCCCUCCGCUGCUGUAGUAACCCGGGUCCGGGGCCUCGGUGGUGCUCCUGAUGCCCCUCACCCACCCCUGAAGAUCCCAGGUGGGCGAGGGAAUAGUCAGAGGGAUCACAAUCUUUCAGCUAACUUAUUCUACUCCGUGAGUAUGGGGCCGGGCCUGCGGUGGGGUGGGUGGGGCCAGGCUUGCUGGGGCUGCUCUGGGGCCACAGGCACUUCUUGUGCAUCUUGCUGCCCGUACCUGUGAUUGAAUUUAACCCUGGGAACCCUGAGUUUCGUCAGAGCCAGCGCACAGUCUCCUGCAGCCCAGGCCUUGCCUGAGCUCAACACGGCCUAGGCCCAAGCCUUAGCGCUGCCGGGUUCUUGGAGUCCUGUGGGGUGAGUCGGGGUUCUGAAUUGGGCUGCACCCCCUGGACAGGAUGAUCGGCUGAAUGUAACAGAGGAACUAACAUCCAACGACAAGACGAGGAUUCUCAACGUCCAGUCCAGGCUCACAGACGCCAAACGCAUUAACUGGCGAACAGUGCUGAGUGGCGGCAGCCUCUACAUCGAGAUCCCGGGUGGCGCGCUGCCCGAGGGGAGCAAGGACAGGUGAGGGGCAAGGACAGGCGGGGAGUGCUUACCCAGGGAGCAGGACAGAUGAGGGAGGGCACUGCCUUCAGGCAGCACAUACGGGGGCCACCAUCGCUUUGUGGGUGGGGACCGGGUCCCUUUUUUUUUCUGAGAUGGAGUCUUGCUUUUGUCGCCCAGGCUGGAGUGCAGUGGCAUGAUCUCGGCUCACUGCAACCUCUGCCUUCCGGGUUCAAGCGAUUCUCCUGCCUCAGCCUCCCGAGUAGCUGGGCUUACAGGCGCCCGCCACCGAUGCCCAGCUAAUUUUUGUGUUUUUGGUAGAGACGAGGUUUCGCUAUGUUGGCCAGGCUGGUCUCGAACUCCUGACCUCCUGAUUCGCCCACCUCGGCCUCCCAAAGUGCUGGGAUUACAGGCGUGAGCCAUCGCUCCAGGCCUGGGGUCUGUUUUUAAAAAGUGCACUCCAAAUUCGUACCCUGGGAUUCCGACCUCCAGGGGACGCCAGGCGGUGUCUGAGAGCUUUUCUGUCAUGUGGCGUGCACGUGGGUGGGUGCAGCGGUGCUGCUCAGCACUGUGGUGUCAGGACGGCCCCACCCAGAGGACAGUCUGGGCCCAGGGGACCCCUGGAGUGGAGCGGGUCUCGGGGUAGUUGCUAAGGCCCAGGAGGUAGGCGGGCGUGUCAGGCCAGCCAAGACGCUAACACCCGCUGCAGCUUUGCAGUUCUCCUGGAGUUCGCUGAGGAGCAGCUGCGAGCCGACCAUGUCUUCAUUUGCUUCCACAAGAACCGCGAGGACAGAGGUAGGUGACCCGCAUCGCUUGCAGUAGGGUGCGUGGGGGUGCCUGUCCUGCCCCUUCAUUCUCAGCGCCGCCUGUCCUGCCCCUUCAUUCUCAGCCCGCAGGCGCGGUCUCCCAGCGGGAGUGGGGGGUGCGGGCCGGGGGUUUCUGGUCGGCAGGGGUUCUGACGGCUUCUCUCCCGCAGCCGCCUUGCUCCGAACCUUCAGCUUUUUGGGCUUUGAGAUUGUGAGACCGGGGCAUCCCCUUGUCCCCAAGAGACCCGACGCUUGCUUCAUGGCCUACACGUUCGAGAGAGAGUCUUCGGGAGAGGAGGAGGAGUAGGGCCGCCUCGGGGCUGGGCAUCCGGCCCCUGCGGCCACCCCUUGUCAGCCGGGUGGGUAGGAACCGUAGACUCGCUCAUCUCGCCUGGGUUUGUCCGCAUGUUGUAAUUGUGCAAAUAAAUGCUCACUCCAAAUUAGCGGUAUAUUUCUUGAAGUUUAAUAUUGUGUUUGUGAUACUGAAGUAUUUGCUUUAAUUCUAAAUAAAAAUUUAUAUUUUACUUUUUUAUUGCUGGUUUAAGAUGAUUCAGAUUAUCCUUGUACUUUGAGGAGAAGUUUCUUAUUUGGAGUCUUUUGGAAACAGUCUUAGUCUUUUAACUUGGAAAGAUGAGGUAUUAAUCCCCUCCAUUGCUCUCCAAAAGCCAAUAAAGUGAUUACACCCGA